UACAGAGGAUGCAAGCGUUGUCCGGAAUCAUUGGGCGUAAAGAGCUCGUAGGCGGCUUAGUAAGUCGGGUGUGAAAACUCUAGGCUCAACCUAGAGACGCCACCCGAUACUGCUAUAGCUAGAAUCCAGUAGGGGAGUGUGGAAUUCCCAGUGUAGCGGUGAAAUGCGCAGAUAUUGGGAGGAACACCAGCGGCGAAGGCGGCACUCUGGGCUGGUAUUGACGCUGAGGAGCGAAAGCGUGGGUAGCGAACAGG
rnacentral:rRNA from 1 species